GAUGGACGCUAGCGAUAGGCUUAACACAUGCAAGUCGAGGGGCAGCAUGAUCCUAGCUUGCUAAGGUCGAUGGCGACCGGCGCACGGGUGCGUGACGCGUAUGCAACUUGCCUUACAGAGGGGGAUAACCCGUUGAGAGACGGACUAAAACCGCAUACACUUGUAUUAUUGCAUGAUAUUAUCAAGGAGAUAUUUAUAGCUGUAAGAUAGGCAUGCGUCCCAUUAGCUAGUUGGUGAGGUAGACGGCUCACUCAAGGCAACAGAUGGGUAGGGGAACUGAGAGGUUUAUCCCCCACACUGGUACUGACGACACGGACCCAUGAUCUCCUACGGGAGGCAGCAGUGAGGAAUAUUGGUCAAUGGGCGAGAGCCUGAACCAGCCAAGUCGCGUGAAGGAAGACAGUCCUAAGGAUUGUAAACUUCUUUUAUACGGGAAUAACGGGCGAUACGAGUAUUGCAUUGAAUGUACCGUAAGAAUAAGCAUCGGCUAACUCCGUGCCAGCAGCCGCGGUAAUACGGAGGAUGCGAGCGUGAUCCGGAUUUAUUGGGUUUAAAGGGUGCGUAGGUUGUUCGGUAAGUCAGCGGUGAAACCUGAGCGCUCAACGUUCAGCCUGCCGUUGAACUGCCGGGCUUGAGUUCAGUGGCGGCAGGCGGAAUUCGUGGUGUAGCGGUGAAAUGCAUAGAUAUCACGAGGAACUCCGAUUGCGAAGGCAGCUUGCCAUACUGCGACUGACACUGAAGCACGAAGGCGUGGGUAUCAAACAGGAUUAGAUACCCCGGUAGUCCACGCAGUAAACGAUGACUACUAGGAGUUUGCGAUAUACCGUCAAGCUUCCACAGCGGAAGCGUUAAGUAAUCCACCUGGGGAGUACGCCGGCAACGGUGAAACUCAAAGGAAUUGACGGGGGCCCGCACAAGCGAGGAACAUGUGGUUUAAUUCGAUGAUACGCGAGGAACCUUACCCCGGGAUUGAAAAUG
rnacentral:rRNA from 1 species